rnacentral:lncRNA from 1 species
UUUUUUUUUUUUGUCUUUUUGCCAUUUCUUGGGCUGCUCCCGGCAUAUGGAGGUUCCCAGAAGAGACAAUUAAUUAAUUAAUUAAUUAAUUAAAUAAGAAAAGAUUUUUAAAGGCAUAUGAGAAAGUAUAUUUCACUUCUCAUUCAAUACAACACAGUCCAUUGAGAGGAACUGGUCACCUCAGGGAAUGAAGUUUUAUUUAGCACAAACAGGAGAGGUUUUCAAUUAGUAUGUCUAUUCUUUAAUAAUUUCAUCAUUCUUCCGAGAUUAUAAAAGCAGUACAUCCUAGGUAAAAAAAAUUGAGAAAAAAGAUCACCCACAAUAUUAUUACCUAGAGAUAAUAAGCUCUUAUUAGUAUUUGGCAUACAUACUUUCUUUUAAGAUUUCUAUAUACAGAGCUUUUGUCCAUAUUAAAGAAAAUUAGGGAGCUCCCAUUGUGGCUCAGUGGGUUAUGAACCCGACUAGCAUACAUGAGGAUGCAGGUUUGAUUCCUGGCCUUGCUCAGUGGGUUAAGGAUCUGGCAUUGCUGUGAGCUGUGCUGUAGGUCGAAUAUGAGGCUCAGAUCCUGCAUUGCUGUGGCUAGUGGCGUAGGCUGGCAGCUGCAGCUCUGAUUCAACACCCUAGCCUGGGAACUUCCAUAUGCCAAAGGUGUGUCCCUGAAAAGCAAAAAAAAAAAAAAAAAAAAAAAAAAAAUCAUACAUUAAGCAUAUUCUCAUCCCAUUCUGUUUUUCUAAAUAUCAUUCCAUAUCAAUAAAUAUUGGCCUCUACCAUCCUGUUUAAAGAUUGCACAGUAUUUCACUAUAUGGAUAGGCCCUAAUGACUUAAUCAAUCCUUUAUUAAUAGGGGUUUAGGUUACUUUCCAUGUUUUGCUGUUGCAAAAAACAGGGCAAUGAGCAAUCUGGUACAUAUGACUGUUUCUUUAAGAUAAAUUCCUAGACGAUAGCUUGUCAUUUUAUAACUCUGGAUCCAUAUUGCCCCAAGUGUCACCCAUAAAAUACAUACCAAAUUUACCUUUUUCAAAAGAAGGAAACCCUUAAAUUUAAGAGUAAUAGCAUAUUUUACAUUUCUAAUAUUUAGAUUAAGCAACCAAAAACUUUAAAAAUUCAAUUUAUCUCUAAAAAUCUAAAAUAUCAAUUCAUGCCUCUGAUAUUGCAUUAGAAUUACAUUUGGAGGGGGGGAAUUCUAAAAUACCUAAUAAACCGGUUUUGUUUUCAGCAUUUAUUAAUUUGAAAACUUAAACUCUGAAAAGAAUAUACUUGCUAUAAAACAAGCAAAUUAGUAGGGAAAACUAAAAGGCAAGGAGAGAGGCAAAAAAUACACUAAUCAGUUAUAGCAGCCACCAGGUCACCAAAUCUGAAUCCUAUACAAGGGCUGAGAAAGAAGCAUCAAGAAAAAGAGAAAAGGUGACAACUAAAAGAAACAGCUUUCAGAGACUCAGUGAUGGCUGGAUUAAAUUACACACAGACAUAUACAUCUACAUGCUCUGUAUAGAACCAAUCCUGAAGCUAAUCUCUAGGGGUUAGAACACAAGAGGAACCUUUGUGUGCUUUAUUUAACCAAACAUCAUGUACAAGGGGAUGGGGGAGGCCAGAUACAGGGAAGAGUGUCUAGGUAGCAGCUUGAGGGCCUAGUAUCAACUACUUCCCCUCCUGGGCACCAGGAGGGUAACAGGAACUUGAGGCAUAAAGCAGCUCCAAAGGCACUUAUUCCCUUCAAAACCAACACAAAUGACAAGGCUCAAUCAUCAAGUUCUUUGGCAAACUGGGCAAGGUGAGACUAUUUUUACCAACAAAUAAUUUACUGGAGAGCACCAUGUUUGUGCCUAGGAGGGGAAGGCCACAUAUUAUAACUAAUCUACUGGAGUUUCAUCCUAAUGGGGAAGGCAGGGACAUUAGAUAAAGCAACCAUAACAAAAGCACUGAACAUUUAAGAUGGAAAAUGGCAGUGUGUAUAGGGGUAAGAGGAGGUACUGUUGCUUGCUAACACCACACACCUAUAGGACUUGGGGUCUAACAUUCUUCUAGGCAAGGGCUCAGUAAACUAUGGCCCUUGAAUGGGUCAAAUCCAAUUCUGACUUAUGCUAUGAGCCAUUACCUAUAUAUAACACUUUUAAAUGGUUGAAAAAUUCUUAAAACUGUUUCCCAGCAUACAAAAAUUUCAUGAAAUUCAAACAUCAGUGUCCACAAAGUUUUACUGAACACAGCCAUGCCCACUCCUGGUCAAUGGCUACCUUCUCCAUGCACUGAGUUGGGAGGCUCUAAAUGCUUCAUGCUUGUUAGUUUGGCCCUGACAUACCCAGAAUUUAGACAUAGCCUGCUAGCCUAACAGAGAAUGCAGCCCCAUUUUUAAGAACAGCAGGCAGGUCUAAUUGGUUCUAUGGAUGCUGGGGUACUAGCCAAAUAGUAACCAGAAAAAUGUGAAAGGUUUUUUGAGUUGAAAGUAGAAUGGUCUCAGAAGGUGUGUGUUGGGGUGAGUAGGAUUAAAGGUUUCUCUCUGAAAGAAUACAUGAGCUAUCUCCUUGGACAAGAGAAUGAAACCGUCCUCAAAAUGACUACUACCUUUAGGAGCUUAGCACUGAGCAAAGCCUUUUGCCUUUAUUAUCUCAUUUAAUCUCAAACCCAGGUUCAAGUCUAAGCCUGUGUUCCUAACCACUCCCUGACUUAAAAGCACAAGACAACAAUGUUCACCAGGACUAAAAGAGAGGAAAAGACCACAGGAACAGUGGAAGGUUAUUUUAUGGCCAUGAGCAUCAGAAGUGUUCUAUUCAUCUCUCUCCUCCCUCUCCCUCUUUCUCCUUAUAGUAACAUCAUUUCCUUUAAAGAAAGUAAAAUGCAACUUAUUUCUUCCAGGAACUUGCUUGUUGAGAAAAACUGAUGCAGGUACUCAAACAUGGAGACAUUUUAAAGAUGUCACCAUCAAAGUUAUAGAUCUAACUUCUACUAAAUGCAAUCAAUGUGUAAGGGUCUCCAAAAGAAGGGGGUGAGGAAACAUUUUUUGAGGCAAUGGUUUAGAAAGCACAUAUACAGUUUAAUUUAGAUUUUUCAUUUAAAGUACAAUGAGGAGUAACAGUUAAAUGAAUCUUACUCAAAGAAAGGGCUAUGAUGCUGGUAGGCAGCUGAAUCUUUCUUACUAGGAUCCAUGUUCUUUGCUUUGCCAACUAUACCACCAUUUUCCUUCAAGUUCUCCAAAAAGCCUACAAUUAUAAGAACCACUCAAUCCUAACUCAUUUUGUGAAAACCAGAUUUUUAAGAAGUUUCACUUGGUUGAUAUUUUCAUCAUACUUAUUUGCAGAUAACGUAUACCAUUAUUAUAUAACAUGUUUGUACAUAUUUACUUGGGUGUUUAUGAAUGGUUACCAACAUCUAGCUCCCAAGUUCUUCCUGUGCACCAAAUGAGGGGCUCAGAGUUUCAUACAGGGAACUUCCUGCAAGGCUCCCAACACUUCUACUAGGUAGGCUUUAUCUAGAUGAGGAACCUCAGGGUCAGGCAGGAUAAGUACAUACAGUGAAUGAGAACGAAAGAACCCAGAUUUGGACUUAAGCCUGUUUUGACUCAGAAACUGUGUUUUUCCCAUAGCAUUCUGCCAAGGCACCAACACAUUUCCUUAGACUAUCUCUCAGUCAAAUUUGCUGGAGAGCAGUAAGGGUGUGGAGUUGAAUAAACGAUUAGCUCUAAGAGUGGUUACUGGGCUAAAGCCUCUGCGUAUCGACAAUAAAUCCAUUUGAUCUAAUGUUUUUUGAUUUGUUUGGGUUUUUUCUGCUUUUUAGAGCUGCACCGAAGGCACAGAGAAGUACCCAUGCUAGACGUCCAACAGGGACUGCAGUUGCCAGCCUACACCACAGCCACUGCAAUGUGGAUCCGAGCUACAUCUGCAAUCUACACCACGGCUCACAGCAUUGCCAGAUUCUUACCCACUGGGUGAGGCCAGGGAUUGAACCUACGUCCUCAUGGAUACUAGUUGGGUUCAUUACUGCUGAGCAGAGAUGGGAACUC